CUACGGUGAAUACGUUCCCGGACCUUGUACACACCGCCCGUCAAGCCAUGGAAGCUGGGUGUACCUAAAGUCGGUAACCGUUGAGGAGCCGCCUAGGGUAAAACUAGUAACUGGGGCU
rnacentral:rRNA from 1 species